rnacentral:pre_miRNA from 2 species
GAAAAUCUGUAAACUACCGUUGGAUCUAUAAAUGGACGUUUGAGAUUUGUCCAUGUUAUCCAGAGUGUAAGUUUUACUCCCGGAUUCAAUCAUGAGUAAAAAUUUUACCAGGAGUAAUUUUUUUUACUUUUGAUGACGUGAAUAAAUCUCAGUCAUCUAUUUUUGAAUUCAAUGAUAAUUUUUAGAUUUGC